rnacentral:rRNA from 1 species
GAGAUGAGAUUCCCAUUCCUAUAUGGAAGUAAGACCCUGAGAGAUGAUCAGGUAGAUAGGCUGGAAGUGGAAGUGCAGCGAUGCAUGGAGCGGACCAGUACUAAUCGGUCGAGGACUUAACCAA